GAUGAACGCUGGCGGCGUGCUUAACACAUGCAAGUCGAACGAAGCACCUUAUUUGAUUUCCUUCGGGACUGAUUAUUUUGUGACUGAGUGGCGGACGGGUGAGUAACGCGUGGGUAACCUGCCUUGUACAGGGGGAUAACAGUUGGAAACGGCUGCUAAUACCGCAUAAGCGCACAGCAUCGCAUGAUGCAGUGUGAAAAACUCCGGUGGUAUAAGAUGGACCCGCGUUGGAUUAGCUAGUUGGUGAGGUAACGGCGCACCAAGGCGACGAUCCAUAGCCGGCCUGAGAGGGUGACCGGCCACAUUGGGGCUGAGACACGGCCCAAACUCCUACGGGAGGCAGGAGUGGGGAAUAUUGCACAAUGGGCGAAAGCCUGAUGCAGCGACGCCGCGUGAGCGAAGAAGUAUUUCGGUAUGUAAAGCUCUAUCAGCAGGGAAGAUAAUGACGGUACCUGACGAAGAAGCACCGGCUAAAUACGUG
rnacentral:rRNA from 1 species